rnacentral:rRNA from 1 species
AUGUGAUCGUCUCUCGCAUAUCAAUAAGCGGAGGAAAAGAAACUAACAAGGAUUCCCCUAGUAACGGCGAGUGAAGCGGGAAGAGCUCAAAUUUGAAAUCUUAAAGGGUUUCCCUUUACGAAUUGUAGUUUAAAGGAGUGUUUUCUGUUGAGGUUUUGGUAAAAGUUCUUUGGAAUAGGACAUCAUAGAGGGUGAGAAUCCCGUAUUUGACCUUUACUUUCAACUUUGUGAUACACUUUCAAAGAGUCGGAUUGUUUGGGAAUGCAGUCCAAAAUGGGUGGUAAAUUUCAUCUAAAGCUAAAUAUUGGCGAGAGACCGAUAGCGAACAAGUACCGUGAGGGAAAGAUGAAAAGAACUUUGAAAAGAGAGUUAAACAGUACGUGAAAUUGUCAAAAGGGAAGCGUUUGACACCAGUGUUGUUUUCUGAAAAUCAAUUAAAGAACUGUUUAUGCUAAGCUGUUUAGACUUUAUCAGCUAUCUGUUUAGUUUUGAGCUUUUCUUUAAUGCACUUUUCAGUUAACAAGUCAACAUCAAUUUCUUUUGCUGUAAAAAAGCUUGAGGAAGGUGGCUUGAGAUUCGUCUUAAGUGUUAUAGCCUCUUGCCUAUGCAGUCGGAGAGAUUGAGGUCUGCAGCGUAGAUCCUUCGGGGCUAAAUGCAUUUGUGCUAAGUUAUAGCAUUUUAUAGACAACUUGUUGACUAUGAUUUGUCUUGUAGCUUACUCGCUUAUGUUAUUUUACCUACGCUUAGGAUGUUGAGCGCAUGUCUCUCUCU